rnacentral:sRNA from 1 species
UACUUAAUUAAUUGAUAUCUUAUUAUAUAAAGUAUGGUUUUCAAAGUUAGUAACUCAUAAGAUUGUGUCAUAUGUCAAAUUUAUCUAUCAGAUGUUGACAUGUGUCAGAAAACAUUUAUUUUUAUUUUCUU